CCUACGGGGGGCAGCAGUGAGGAAUAUUGGUCAAUGGGCGAGAGCCUGAACCAGCCAAGUCGCGUGAGGGAGUACUGCCCUAUGGGUUGUAAACCUCUUUUGUCGGGGAGCAAAAGCCGGACGUGUCCGUCUGUGAGAGUACCCGAAGAAAAAGCAUCGGCUAACUCCGUGCCAGCAGCCGCGGUAAUACGGAGGAUCCAAGCGUUAUCCGGAUUUAUUGGGUUUAAAGGGUGCGUAGGCGGUUUUAUAAGUUAGAGGUGAAAUCUCGGGGCUCAACUCCGAAAUUGCCUCUAAUACUGUAGGAC
rnacentral:rRNA from 1 species